rnacentral:lncRNA from 1 species
CCACGGAGUAAGAACCAGAACGCCAGCUGCCCCAGCGGCGCUCGCACCAUCCACCCUUGAAAUUGCCGUAGAAGGCUGGAGUACAGCGGCUGAUCAUAGCUCCCUGCAGCCUCUGCCUCCUGGGCUGAAGCUAUCCUCCUACAUCAGCCUCCUGAGUAGCUGGGAUUACAGAGACAGAAACUGAAAACCAUGGUUUCAGGCUGCUAAAAACCUAACAUGAAACAAAACAGAAGAACAACAACAACAAAAUAAGAGAUGCCCUGCCCAGAGAGGAGAAAUCUGGCAGUCUGGCUGCAAGGGCCUUGCUGAGCUGCAGUGGGCUCCACCCAGUUUGAACUUCCCAGAGGCUUUGUUUACACUGUGAAGGAAGAGUGACCUAUGGGAUCCAUGGAGGAGCUGCUUCCUGAAUCUGUGUAAAGUAGAUCUUGCCGUGUGGGUAACUGUGACUGCGGUGGCCAUGAAGAGGCACAACUCAGACCUCGGAUCUCCUGCUGCAGAGAACAUUGACUGACAGCCCAGCAGCUCCUGUCUGGAUCUACCACCUGUUCACAAUUCUGAAAUACAUUCAACGCACACUUUCCUACUGAGAUUUCUAAAAUGGGACUUGGAAAACAGAAAAAUACGUAAGCAUCCUCUUUCAGGCCAGUAAAGUGGGGUACUAUCAUCUAAAUCUCCAAAAAGGUCAUUCAACUCUGAUCCCUGUUUAAAGAGAGAAAAAAGGAAUAAAGGAGCCUUUGAAGGCAGAAUAUUGCUCACUCAUCUCUUUGAAAGGACCUCAGACUGCAGAGCAGAAGAACCACUGGCUACAUCAGCUGGGGCAGAGGGGGAUGAAGAGAACAUCAUGAUGCCUGCAAAAAAGUGGGCUCUGCAGGAUCUCCAGUCACCUCCCUUCCCUUCAGAUCCAGAGCUCUCUCUGGCUAGGACCUUCCAGAGUUCCAGAAUUUUUGUUCCACCUUCCAUUGCUCACUUCUAUUACUAUUACUAAGAUAUUCACAUGGAAUUCUGUGCAAACCAUUUUUUUUUUCUUUUGGUGCCCUCUUUGUUUUACUUCCUCUAUUGGGACUAAUGGCCAUCUGACUUGGGGGUCCUUUGUUUUUUGUGACAAACCACCCUCAGCAGAUUUCCUUGAGGUCCAUUUGCUCAAGGGCCUUAAAGCUUUUUGGAGUAAUACAGAGUAAGUUUCUAGACAGCCUCUUGUGCUCUGCAGUAAGCUAAAGUGGAAGAUUAAGAUGCCUGGUGUAUACUGUGUGUUUCCCAUGUAAUGGCAGAAAAGGAAUGGGGCUCAUUAGUUACUUUAAGGUGGCAGCAGCUACCUUAGAGAAGACUGCAUUGCUUGUACUGAUUCAAAAGAGCACCUAAUGAAGGGAAAAAGCAGAAAUAAGCCAAGACUUGAGCUGAGUGAUUCGUUGAAUCAGCCAAGGAUAAUGUUCUUCAGGCACUAUGCACAUGUCACUGAUCAGUAGCGCUUCUCUUAAGCUUCAACAGCACUCACUUCCCCUGUCUUGAUGAGGUGAGCAGCACAUUUAAUUUCAGCUCCUGGGGCCAUCUGCAAACCUCUACUCCAUUCCUCAGCUGUGUUUGCUCCUCUGUUCUCAGGGAGCAGCAUUUUCACUGGAUGCAAACUGUGAGGCACUGUCUGGGCAAGCAGAUUGGUUACUAAUGAGGAAACUGGCACUGACAGCCUUUUGGGUUCUGAUUGAAGAAAAGAGAUGUCUUCGCAUCAGAAUGGUUUAACUUUCAAUGUGGCAUAUCAACUGGUUGAAAUUAGGGAGAGAGAGAAAGAGAAAUUUAAUUGUCAGGCUGUGGUGCGUAGUGUCAAAGCUACCUAGAUUAUGAGAAAUACGUCUUUUCAACAGCUUAAAGGCCACAGCUCUCAACAUUUUUUCUGCAUGUACAACACAGACAGGAUCCAGAAAUCCCAGCCUAUAACUCUUGGUUCCGUCAAAUACUCAACAGAGAAAACAGAAGUAUUUGAUUGUGGUAUUAACUAUGAAAUGUUCCCUAUUAGCCAUAUGAUUCUAUUAGCUCAGCUCAUUCCUGUUAGAUUUAUAGAAACAUUAGAGAUAAUUGGAAUUAGAAGGGCCAAGAGAGACGAUCCAAUCCCAUAUAGAGAAAAGCAAGACCCCUGCUCUCACUGAAGAAGUUUUAAAAAUAAUUAAACAACAAACAAACAAAUUGAGGCCCAGAGAGAUGAAGUAAUUUGACUGAUGUAUUCCAUCAGUGACAGACCUGGGACUGGAGCUCCAUCUCAGCUCUCAGCCCACUAAGAACCCUGUUCAUGGUGCCAUACUAGCAACCCCCUUCCUGUAGGAGUCUUUGAGAGUCAGAAUGACUUCUUGACUGAGAGGUACAUGUCUCUAGGAUAAGGACAAUUGAGGGGAUAAUGAGGAAAGAAAUAAUGUAAGUUAACUAUAUUUUGCCACAUGCCCUCCUCUCUCCAUGAAUCCAGGAUGUUGACCCAUAUCCAGCAUCCAUUGUGGGACUAAGUCUCGGACACCAAGGACUUCUAAGGAGCCUGCUCCAAUCUGAAAUGACUGUGGGGGAGCUGGCCAUUCCCCGAGCCAUUCUUGGAAUAUUGGGCCACAGGGGCCACUGGGGAGCAUGUAUAGGUAGGGGCGGCUUUGAUAUAAGCCUAGGUAUUCAAUUCUUCAUGGGACCCCCAAUGCUACCCCAAGUCUGCACCUUGAUUCCCAAAUACCCAAGAGAGACAAAAUGUCCUACUUUCUCUCUGAAGUUCUUCUAAUGUUGGAAGACCUAGGGUGGAGGCAAACCUUUCAGAGAAUUUCUGCUGGGAUUUAAAUGUAUGUCUAGCUGGCUUUAGACAUUAGAAGACUGUAAUAUGUACCUUAAUAAGUUGCCUUUCCCAUGGUGUUUGUUAUCCUCAGAAGACCCCCAUAGUGACUCUAGGAGACAAUUCUCAUAUCUUCUGAACUGUGCAUGUUCAUAGUUUUUCUGAGCAGGGUUUGCAUCUAGCAGCGAUGGAGGUAUAGGAGGUCACAGGCAACACUGCGUGCCUCACACAACAUUGUAGAUCAAGACACAGUUAAAUGGGCUGGCAAUUCUGAGUUUCUGAGUCCAGUCCCAUGACUAGUAUAGCUGUCAGAACUAGAGGGGCCAACCCUGGGAAUCUUGGAGAUGCUUUAUGAAUAUAUGAGAUUUCAGGCAUCCAAGCUCUUCUAUUUGUUUACAUGUAUUCUCAAUGUCUAUCUCCCAUUAUCAAAUCUAUUCCAAAAGUAUUUUUUCAACACUUGCUGGAGACUCUUGGAUAAAGCUAGUAAACGUGCUUUUAUUAAGCUCCAACUCUGUGCUGACCACUUAUACAUAUAUUGUCUCAGUUGCACUCAAAAUGCUAUUGUGUGUUAGGGUUCUUUCUUACAGAUUUUGAAACAGUGUCUUGGAGAGGUUAGGUGAAUUGCUCAAAAGACGCAGCAAGCACAGAGCUGUGACUUGGUCCUGUCUUAUCUGCUUUGGGGUUAUGGGUAGUUUAUCUUUAUAUGCCUAUUUUAACAGUAGACCCUCAACCACUGAAAUUGACAGGAAAAAGUAUGUGGUUGUUUUACCAAACAAACAAACAGACAAAAAACCAAACCCACCAAACCUGAAAUUUUUGGUUUGGUCAACAUUUUAAUUCAACUGUACUCAAUGUAUUAACAAUGGUGAUUUGAUAUGAUGGAUGUAAUUGAUAAUCAAUGCAGUGCCAUUUAUAGACUGCCUAAAAGUGCAUUGUACAUCAUUUUGACAACAUAUUUACCUGCAUUGUUUGGGCAAAAUGAAUUUUAAAAUUAUUUUUUGUUUCCUAAAUUUGUAUCAAUUGAAAAAAAAAAAGUCAUCUGGGUAGCAGACAGAAGUCAGCCUGGGACUACAGUGGGUCAUAACCCUGAGGAUUCAAAUGUGGGCAAUGGCAACAACAUCAGCGACUAAAGCUGUCAGUGGAGAAAAGAAGAAAGCACACGCCAGCCACCCUGCAGAACAAUGCAGUUCUUUCAGAGUCACAUAGUCCUAAAUCUGGAAACCAUCACAGCUGAGAGGAUAAGCUUUGGAACCCGAUAGUGGUCUAAAACUAGGCUCUGCCUGCCAUGGACAAACUACAAGAGACUGGGAAGUGAGUUAAACCUGAGCUAAAUCCCAGUUUCCUUCUCUGCAAAACAGGGAGUGGGGACAGUGGAAUAACACCUCCCUCAUAGAACUGUUGGGAGGCAUAAAUGACCCUCAGCACAGGGUGGUGUGUAUGGAAUGUGCAUCAUAAGUGGCAGCUAUUUUGAUAAUUACUAAACAUGAUGAAUGAUGAUAAGCGAAAUAAUAACACAGCUUUUCAACAUUUUCACUCAAUAAGUUAAAUUUAUAAUAGGCAAGCAAAGGAGUUUCCAGAAUUAAGCAUCUGAUGGGAGCUUAGACAGGUUGACUUUUACAGCUCAUUCUAACCCUGAGUGAGGGUCUGUGAUUUUAUAAGCCCUUUUAGGGUUCGAGUGCUACUUCUAAUCAAGAUCCUGGUAUCAUGUUUUUCUCCAUUACGUGGAACAAUAAUGAAUAGAUAAAUAAAAUAUAACUGGGAAAGGAGAACACAGAUUGAACACAUGCAUUUAUCUCCACUCUUGUCCAAAACCUCACAGUAAAAUAAUUUAAAAUACAUGAACCUAUAAGAACAAGAGAGGGGAGAUAUGAUGAAAGAGAAAACCAAAAUUUUGGAAGUUGGAAAAAAAUGGAAGGCUGGUUAGCCAAUUAGGGACAGUAGAAAGCUGCAUAUCUGUAAGGCACAUGCUGCCAAGAGAGAAAAGCAAGGCAAUUUGGAUGUGGAACCUCAGACAGGCUUAGAAUAGGAAACAGAUCCAUGAGUCAUGACACUGUGGUUGAGAUUUCUGCUUUAGCCAUUCCAGCGUAUGCUUGUUUUUCCCUAAAAGUCUUUACUCAUUUGUUUUCUCUCUUCCGCCCAGUGAACAUCUACUCAUUCUUCAAAACCCAGAACUGUUGUUGUUUCUUGAAAAAUGGAGAUUAUUCCAAAGUUCUUUUAGCCUUUGCAAUGUGAAGGCAUGUGUCAGGGUUGGGAGGAGUUGGGGAACAGCACCUCUUUCUUUUAACGUCCAAUUGAUUGAGGCCAAUGGGUCAUCCUGCCUCCUUCCCUAAAUAUUCCUGAGAAUGCUCAGAGAGGGCCCACAUGUUCCCUAAGUCCAUUCUGGUUACCCUGUGUGCCUUCUUGCUCUGGUCUGCUGCUCCCAGCUUCUUCACGAUCACUUGUGAUCAUUUGCUAGCCUUUUUUUAGUCCAUUUUACUCCAAAGCAAGAAUACAGUACUUGCUCCUUACUCUCCAAUGCUUACCAAUGCAACAACAAGAGGUAAUAGUAUUUAACAAAUUUUGAUACGGAGGAAAGGAAAACCUAAAAUAAGGUACCAUGUAUCACUAUUCCUGAAUUCUGUCAUCAUGUCCCUUUAAAGGCAGUGCUCUAUAGGUUCCGUCUCUCCUGUGGCCCCAGCCUGCUGCCACUGGAACAAGGGUCCAGGGUUCUUAAUGCACGGAAGUCUUCAUCUUAUCCCCCACAAAUCUACAGCCAAAAGAAGGAAAUACCCAUUGAUGACACGAUAGACAAUAUAACAGUUGACAAGAUAAUUGAUACAGCGUGCCCAAUGUGAAGAGAGAAUUUGUCACGGCUAGAGUAGUGAACCUUCUCCAGGUGAACCAUCUGCCGUUGGAAGCUUCCUUUUGUCCAGGGCUCCUGCAAGGCCAGUGAGUAGGUACUUCUAUCUACACAUGACUGAAAAAGACUUACCAAAACCAAUAUAUUCCCAAGGAUACUUUCUAAAUUCUACCCAAGGAGCAGAUGCUGCUCACAAUUCUCUAAAACAAGGUCUUUUUUUUUUCAACCCCAGAUAUAUCAAGAAUGGGACACAAUCUCCGAGGAAGAAAUUGUCAGCAUCUAUCUUGAAAAUAUCUUUGGUUUCCCAUUACAUUUCGGAUUUCUCUAGACCAUAUUUGUAGUUCCCUUUUUGGUGUUCCCAUUCUUGUAAGUUUAUAUAAACAGCAAUAAGACUAUAGCUCUUCUCACAGGAUACUUUGUUAUUUCUUAAUGGGACUGUCUGUCCUGUAGGCUAUGAGCUAUUUGAGGGCAAAGAAUAUUCUAUUCAUCUUUAUAUUCCUGGCACAUGGUAGGCACUCAGUAAUGCUGCUGCUGAAUUGAAUCGGCUGUGGGAAAAAAACAAAUGCUUCUCCUCAGUCAGCAUUUGUUUUCUAGGAUCUAUUCCAAUAUAUUUCCAACAAAAAUAUGAGAUUUAAAAGAUAGGCAGAGAGUGAAUUGAACUGAAUAUUGCACAAAAACUCCUUGUCUUUAAAGGUGGAAACAAAAUCCACCACCUUCCCAAGAUAGCUGUUCUGUCUCACAUCUUCUUGAAGCAAUGAAAUGAUGAGUACUGUGAUCAGAGAGGACCCUCAGAAAAUAAAUAAAAACCCAGCUCUACAAAUGCAGCCGUAAGCCAGGAGGAUAUGACGAAGGAUAUCAUUAUCAUCCUGAUAUUUUUAGAAGUUCUUUGGUGACAGGUCAGAUUUUUGAGAAUCAGAAAAUGAUAAAAAUAAUCUUGUUAUUCCACAAAGGAGGCUCUAUAUAUAUCAGGCCGAUUUUGAACACUGCCUGAGAAUGUUGAGAAAAUAUUUUUAAAUGUUAGUGAAAUGAUAGGCUUUGGGGGCAGACCCAGCCUCGCUUUAGAAAAAGCUUUAUCGUGGGGGGAUUGAGAGAUUUUAGUGAUGUGAGCAUUGUAAAGAAUCAGCAGUGAGUGGGUGUAAGUUUUUGUUUUCCAAUUUUCCAGAGGAGGGUCCACCUGGGAAGAAUUUCAUGAAAUUUACAGAAAUCUGAAAAUUGCUUUUGAAGCUAUUACAGGUACCUGGGGAGUCCUCCUUGGCCCCACAGGCUGACUACACUAUCCAGAUCUUAAGGGACUCUCAUCUUUCCUAACUUCUAGGUUGCAGGAUUCUGCAGAAUUACUUCUGCAGCUUCCAUUUGUAGCUAUUGCUAAGUGGACCCAUAGCUAUAUGGGAUGUGGGGCUCUGGAUUUCAGGUAGAAAUGACCCUUUGUUUAUUUGAGAUGUUUGCUUCUUUAAAUACUCAGCCAUCUGACUCUCUAAUUGUUUAGGAUUAGUCAUAAGUUAAGUAGGACAGGGAAGAUGUUAUAAAUAGUUUAUUGCAUAUCCAUUCAAGAAAUUUAGGCUAAGUUUAUAUAUUUUACCUUCUGAAAGGAGAAAGCCUGUGUGUUUAUUUAAAGCAUUGUAGAUUUUUUCUCAUUUAGAAUAUAUGAGUCUAGUAUAAAAAUUGAUUCUAGAUGAUUUAUAUGUAAGUUGCUCUUUUCUUCAUACUUAUUUUGCUACCUUUUUAUUUCA